UCUGUGUAGCUCUGGCUGUCUUGGAGUUCACUCUAUAGAUCAGGCUAACUUCGAACUCCCAAAGAUCCAUCUGCCUCUUCUUCCCAAGUGCUGGGACUAAAGGCGUGCACCACCACCACUAGGCCAUAUUUCUCUUUUUCAUUUUUAUUAUUUUCUUGAUCCUGAUUUCCUUUUCUUCUCUCUUUCACUAACCUUCAGCCCAAUUCUUUUGUUGCAAAACCUCUCUUUGCAUCAGAAUCAUGUUUGUAGAGUCCCAAGGAAAUGCCUUGUGCGGUGAACACAGCUCAUUUCUGAGACACCAUAUUGACUUACCUAGAAUACUGCCCCAGCAUCUUGCUGAAACCUUGCCUUGAUUUGUUUUGACAUCAGCCAGCCAACCUACCAGCCACUGGCAACUAGGCAUGGGAAUUCAGUGUGACUCAUACAGCUCUGACAAGUUGAAGAAAUAAAAAGCAGAUUUGCCGCUUCUGUCCUGGGAGUUUCUUGCUCCAAUCUGCUCCAUUCAUGCCCCCUUGAAGCUGGGGCCCAGCUGAGUCCUUGCACAGCAGGCUGCCCCUGACUUUGGCCCCUGACCUCAAGGCACCUGGAUGACUUAGUCUCGGAAUCCGUCAGACUCCACCAGGUAGGCACACUGGCGUCUCUCUGCCCUUCACUGUUCCCAGGAUAAUCCUGUCAUUGAGCUGCCGCCUUCCUACCCACCUUCCUGCCUGGGGAAGCCUCUGCGUGCCACCCUCCCACUCUUGUUUCCAUGUAUGAGAUGAGCCACGCUCAGGAAUAACGCUUGCAGAUAGCAGACACUCGCGCGGAGGAGUUUCAAAUGCCCGUCACUCAUGCACGGCUCUCGCUGCGUCCACCCUUCUUCAUGUCUACUCAGGGUUAAGGAAGGCCCUCAGUCUCCCAGGACCCGGGCAUCUGCUCUCACAAAGUGCUUCCUCUUGCAAGUACACCAUGCCCUAGUCAGAGCACGGCACUCCCACUGAGACCAGUCUUUGAUGCUCACACAGCUGCAUGAUGGGGAUUUUACACACACAGAGAAACUGAGGUGACCACUUACUGUGACGCGCUUGACCCUUCUGCUCAGUGCUGUACCCAGAGAAUGGCAUCACAAGCCCGCUUUCCAGAUGUGGAAACUGAGACUCAGGGAAGGUGAAGGACUGUGUGUCCUCCUUCCUGCCACCUUCUCCCACCACGACUCCCCUAGGGGCUGUCUGCAUCUGGGAUGUACAACCUCUUUCUGUGAACUCCCUUGAUCCACCCCUAGCCCAGAGAGGAAGUGAGGCCCCUUGAGAGGUUGGUGGUAACUGGCUCACAUCAGAAAAGGUAUAGCUGCUCUGAGCAGCUGUUUCUGGGGAAGGUUCUGGAGCAGGACAGCCCUUUGACUCUGGGGUCUGCUCCUUAGGUGGGGGCACUGGGCUGAGCAAAAUUAGAUCUUAGAAGCCAGGAGCCAGGGGAGGCAUCAA